rnacentral:rRNA from 2 species
GGCUCAGGAUGAACGCUGGCGGCGUGCCUAAUACAUGCAAGUCGAGCGAACAGAUGAGAAGCUUGCUUCUCUGAUGUUAGCGGCGGACGGGUGAGUAACACGUGGGUAACCUACCUAUAAGACUGGGAUAACUCCGGGAAACCGGGGCUAAUACCGGAUAAUAUUUUGAACCGCAUGGUUCAAUAGUGAAAGACGGUUUCGGCUGUCACUUAUAGAUGGACCCGCGCCGUAUUAGCUAGUUGGUAAGGUAACGGCUUACCAAGGCGACGAUACGUAGCCGACCUGAGAGGGUGAUCGGCCACACUGGAACUGAGACACGGUCCAGACUCCUACGGGAGGCAGCAGUAGGGAAUCUUCCGCAAUGGGCGAAAGCCUGACGGAGCAACGCCGCGUGAGUGAUGAAGGUCUUCGGAUCGUAAAACUCUGUUGUUAGGGAAGAACAAAUUUGUUAGUAACUGAACAAGUCUGACGGUACCUAACC